rnacentral:tRNA from 1 species
AUUUAAAUAGUUUAAAUAAAAAUAUUGAUUUGUGGGGUCAAAGUUAUAAGUUUAUUUUAAAUU